rnacentral:rRNA from 1 species
AGUGAACGCUGGCGGUAGGCCUAACACAUGCAAGUCGAACGGCAGCACAGUAAGAGCUUGCUCUUACGGGUGGCGAGUGGCGGACGGGUGAGGAAUACAUCGGAAUCUACUUUUUCGUGGGGGAUAACGUAGGGAAACUUACGCUAAUACCGCAUACGACCUACGGGUGAAAGCAGGGGAUCUUCGGACCUUGCGCGAUUGAAUGAGCCGAUGUCGGAUUAGCUAGUUGGCGGGGUAAAGGCCCACCAAGGCGACGAUCCGUAGCUGGUCUGAGAGGAUGAUCAGCCACACUGGAACUGAGACACGGUCCAGACUCCUACGGGGGGCAGCAGUGGGGAAUACUGGACAAAGGGCGCAAGCCUGAUCCAGCCAUACCGCGUGGGUGAAGAAGGCCUUCGGGUUGUAAAGCCCUUUUGUUGGGAAAGAAAAGCAGCAGGUUAAUACCCCGCUGUUCUGACGGUACCCAAAGAAUAAGCACCGGCUAACUUCGUG